GAGACAGUUCUCUCUUGAGGCAGUCAGGGCUGGUGGCUGUGGCUUGAGUAAUCUGAAUUCUCAGCUAGUCCCAACAUCCAAGAGGGCAUAUUCACCUGGCUGAGGGCCGGCUUCCUCAGUCACGAGGCCUCAGCUCCACGUGAUCCAAGCAGGAGCUGCUGAUCCUUGGAAAAGAAUGGCUCAGGGCAGCGAGCUCUCCUUUGCUUACCUGCAGGGAGCGCGUUAGGGAAGGCGUUCUCUCUCGAGAAGGAAGCUCAGUCGUCCUUAACCUUCGACACAUGUAGAUGAAAGAGGCUCUUCUCUUAUUAUAUGAGUUGCUUAUUGUUACUUAAAUGGAAAGUUUACCACGGUGGAUGCAGGCAAGAAAUGGAAAGCAAAUUUUGUUAAUCGGGAGCACAGAAUUCUGCAGUCAACUGACGAGUGUAGCAACACAGCAAGGACAGGAGGAUAUCGGACGGUUGCACUCGUGAUGACUGAGGAAUGUUUGUUUCAUCACAAAGUAAUAGAUUGGAAAAACCUGCAUACAUUACUGUCCAGGGGAGCCGUAAAUAAGACGAACUUCUUACACAAAGUAUCUUUUCUCGAGAGAGAGGUGGAUUUUUGCCAGAGCCAUUUCCAUUAAUUUCCUCACAGAGUGUCUUCGGCAAUCCUGACCCGCCGUGUGGAGGGAGCAUUCGGAGAGGCGCUGCCCGCUCUGCGAGCUCGCUGCCGCGCUGCUCAGUCAGGGGAUGCAUUGCCGAGGUAAAAGCUCUCUCUGAAAGUCAAUCAUUUGAAGAGUGGCGUCAAGAGGGGACUUUUGUGAUAUAAAAAUAACUGAACAGCAUUUCAUUCUGGUGAUUUGGACACUUUGUUCACAGGGUCCUGGAACUGUCUCCCUUGGAUACUAAGGGGCAAAAGUAUUCCUGUUUGGGACGAAGGGACUUUGAUACCAGUCAGGAGUACAUUGCACUUCCCUAAGAAUUGUCUACAAAGCCACCGUUACUACUGUGUAAUUUAAGAUCACAGAAAAAUGCUUGGUGGAAACACGAUGCAGUAAGAUCUUCGCACAGCUGUCAGAGGUUUCGCGCCCGUCCCCAUCCCCAUGGGCCUGCCAGGCCCCGCCCGACGCCACAGUCCUGUACCAAGGUUGUCUGGGUUGAGGACACAGUGAUAUUCUACUGUGUGCGUUUUUGAAUUGAAGAAUGUUUGCUAGGCUUUGGAAUGAGUGAACAGAGCAUGCUGGGAGAAACUACCUGUCUCUGUGUAUCUGUCUGUGUGUGGACCACCACUAGCCUGCUCAGGGGCUGCACAGUCUGUUCCCGCGCUCAGGACCUUUCAAAGCUGACCGGAAGUGAGUCCCGGAGCUCCCGGCAGGGCGGGGAAGAGAAGCGUGGAUUUCUGUGACCCAAGCUGCGAUCCUUCCGCCCCCUUUGUCUCCGCUGCAGGUACACUGAGGGACAUCCGUGCGGCGUGAUCACACGGCAGGAGACCUGGCCUGGAAUCAGGCGCUUGGAAGACGGCUCCACUUCCUCCUCCUCACGCGAGUGUCCUGCUCGACUUCUCAGCUGUCCACCGCCCGCACGGAACCGAGGGGCGCAGACGUUUCUUUGCCGCUGUCUCGCACUUGCUGUGUGCCCGCACCGGGCUUCGUUAUCACAGCUAAUUAAGAUGAUGCUGGAAGGCUGCACUGUGCUUCAUGUUCGCUAUUUACUGAAUAUUAGGGGUUACUCUACUCUCCUUAGCAGCGGAGACAGAGAAGUAUCAGGAGCUUAAAAAUGCCCGGUGAGUGUAGGAGUCGCUCUAAUUUAUUUUAAAAUGCUCUCUUGUUUUGUAAAGGAGAGAAGGAUGGCUGGUCUAGGAAAAACAUCCUUAACAAUUACAUCCUAAUUGUUUCCACAUAACUCUGAUUGUACCCAUUGUACAGUUACAAGAAUAUUUCAUGUGACAUUUUCAAAAAUUAAGCUUUUUAUUUUAUAAUAGCUUUAGACUUACAAAAAGCUAUAAAGAUACUACAUAUCCCAUAACUUGAUUUCUCUUUUGAUGGCAUCUUAACAUUUAUCACAACUAAUGAAC
ensembl:lncRNA